rnacentral:rRNA from 1 species
UGGGGAAUUUUGCACAAUGGGGGAAACCCUGAUGCAGCGACGCCGCGUGAUUUAGAAGGCCUUCGGGUUGUAAAAAUCUUUUCUAUGGGUAGAAAAUGACAGUACCAUAGGAAUAAGGACCGGCUAAUUACGUGCCAGCAGCCGCGGUAAUACGUAAGGUCCGAGCGUUGUCCGGAAUCAUUGGGCGUAAAGGGUACGUAGGCGGGUAAGCAAGUUAGAAGUGAAAUCCUGUAGCUCAACUACAGUAAGCUUUUAAAACUGCUCAUCUUGAGAUAUGGAAGGGAAAGUGGAAUUCCUAGUGUAGCGGUGAAAUGCGCAGAUAUUAGGAGGAAUACCGGUGGCGAAGGCGACUUUAUGGCCAUAAUAAGACGCUGAGGUACGAAAGCGUGGGUAGCAAACAGG